UACGUAGGCGGAAAAUUAAGUCAGUAGUGAAAUCCCGCAGCUUAACUGUAGAACUGUUAUUGAUACUGGUUUUCUUGAAUAUAGUUGAGGUAGGCGGAAUGUGUAAUGUAGCGGUGAAAUGCUUAGAUAUUACACAGAACACCGAUUGCGAAGGCAGCUUACUAAGCUAUGAUUGACGCUGAGGUACGAAAGCGUGGGGAGCGAACAGGAUUAGAUACCCUGGUAGUCC
rnacentral:rRNA from 1 species